rnacentral:rRNA from 1 species
CGGGGGGGGCAAGCGUUGUUCGGAAUUACUGGGCGUAAAGGGCUCGUAGGCGGCCAACUAAGUCAGACGUGAAAUCCCUCGGCUUAACCGGGGAACUGCGUCUGAUACUGGAUGGCUUGAGUUCGGGAGAGGGAUGUGGAAUUCCAGGUGUAGCGGUGAAAUGCGUAGAUAUCAGGAGGAACACCAAUGGCGAAGGCAGCACUCUGGGACGGUACUGACGCUGAGACGCGAAAGCGUGGGGAGCAAACAGG